UCAGAUUGCCAGCACCAUGUGAUGGGAGCUCCAGGGCAUGCUGCGUGCUCGCCAGGAGGGGCUGGGCAAGAUGGCGUAGUCGCUGGAGCAGCUGCGGGCGCGGCACCGCCGCUCUCACCCUGGCGGAGUGCAGCAACACAGUGGAGCGGCACCAGCGGGACACUCUGGACAACGCAGCCAAGGCUGUUGCCCCGCUCGCCCGACUCGUUGAGAGGCUUGCCCACCCCCCAGGGCGUUGUCGUGAAGAUACCGCUGGGAGGAAGAAUAUCUCACAAUACUGGAAGAGAAGUCGCCUUUGCUCAAGAUGCCACUUUAUUAAUCACUGACACAAAGACUGAUACCGUCACUGCAGUAUAGCCUAAAUAAAUCCCACUGCAUUGUAAGUGGCAUGUGUGAGCUGUUUUAAGCAUCGUUUUACGUGCGUUUUGGGGCCUGUGCUCGUUGUACCUGCGCUGUCAUAUGUACUUAGCGUUCCGGCACCUUGUGAUUUACAAAUGAAGCACUGGAUACAUCAUGACCUGCGCGAAAGAGGGCGGAAAACUAUGAAUUUCACCCUCCUGCUCUCCGCACAUCCAAAGCCACUCUUUUCUCUCCCGGCUCUCUCACUCACUCUCACACGUACACAAACACACAGACACACGACCCCGCCCCCCAUGUCACUCACAUGCAUGCCGCAUUCACUGGACAGGCACACAGUAGGAAACCAGAGCAUCAUAACAUUGUCCCACACAGCAGCUAACAGCGGGGUUGCUACAAUAUAAAACUCGCGGGCCGCACUAACAUUAAACUUUCAUAUUAAGGUGGGGGCCACAAAAUAUCGUCCCGAGGGCCGCAAUUGGCCCGCGGGCCGCGAGUUUGAGACCCCUGCUCUAAACCCCUUAUUCUUUUAACCCUAACCGUCUAAGCCAUUAAAAACCAAACUCUCUGAAUCCCUAACCCUCUAAUCCUUGAAACCCUAACCUUCUAAAACCCUAAAUCCCUAACAUUCUAAAUACCAACCAAUCUAAACCACUACCCUCUAAAGAACUAACCCUCUAGACCCCUAACCCUCUGAACUCAUAACCUCCUAAAUCCUCAACCUCUAAAAUCCUAACCCUCAAAACCCUAACGUUCUAAAAACCUAAAUCUGUAACCUAAUCCCAACACAUUUAAACCCCAACCCUCUAAAGAACGAACCCUCUAGAAGCCUAACCCUUAAAACACCUAUGCCCCUAAAAUGCUAAC